rnacentral:rRNA from 1 species
GAUGAACGCUGGCGGCGUGCCUAAUACAUGCAAGUCGAGCGAACAGACGAGGAGCGUGCUCCUUUGACGUUAGCGGCGGACGGGUGAGUAACGGGUAGGUAGCCUACCUCUAAGACUUGGAUAACUGCGGGAAACCGGAGCUACGACCGGAUGAUAUUUCGAACGGGGUGGUUCGAUAGUUAAAGAGGGCUUGGCUGAGACUGAGAGAUGGACCUGCGCCGUAUGAGUUAUUUGGUAAGGUAGCGGCUUACCAAGGCAACGAUGCGUAGCCGACCUGCGAGGGUGAUCGGCCACACUAGAACUGAGGCACGGUCCAGACUCCUACGGGAGGCCGCAGUCGGGCAUCUGCCGCCAUGGGCGAAAGCCUGACGGAGCACCGCCGCGUGAGUGAUGAAGGCCUUCGGAUCGUAAAACUCUGUUAUUAGGGAAGCACAAACGUGUAAGUACCUGUGCACGUCUUGACGGUACCUAAUCAGAAAGCCACGGCUAACUACGUG